rnacentral:rRNA from 1 species
AUUGAACGCUUGCGGCAGGCUUAACACAUGCAAGUCGAGCGAGCGGCGGACGGGUGAGUAAUGUCUGGGAAACUGCCUGCUGGAGGGGGAUAACUACUGGAAACGGUAGCUAAUACCGCAUACCAUCAGAUGUGCCCAGAUGGGAUUAGCUAGUAGGGUGGGUAAUGGCUCACCUAGGCGACGCUCCCUAGCUGGUCUGAGAGGAUGACCAGCGACACUGUAACUGAGACACGGUCCAGAAUCCUACGGGAGGCAGCAGUGGGGAAUAUUGCACAAUGGGCGCAAGCCUGAUGCAGCCAUGGCGCGUGUGUGAAGAAGGCCUUCGGGUUGUAAAGCACUUUCAGCGAGGAGGCGUUACUCGCAGAAGAAGCAACGGCUAACUCCGUGCCAGCAGCCGCGGUAAUUC